AGGACGAACGCUGGCGGCGUGCUUAACACAUGCAAGUCGAACGGUAAGGCCCCUUCGGGGGUACACGAGUGGCGAACGGGUGAGUAACACGUGGGUAAUCUGCCCUGCACUUCGGGAUAAGCCUGGGAAACUGGGUCUAAUACCGGAUAUGAACUCCUGCCGCAUGGUGGGGGUUGGAAAGUUUUUCGGUGCAGGAUGAGCCCGCGGCCUAUCAGCUUGUUGGUGGGGUAAUGGCCUACCAAGGCGACGACGGGUAGCCGGCCUGAGAGGGUGAUCGGCCACACUGGGACUGAGACACGGCCCAGACUCCUACGGGAGGCAGCAGUGGGGAAUAUUGCACAAUGGGCGAAAGCCUGAUGCAGCGACGCCGCGUGGGGGAUGACGGUCUUCGGAUUGUAAACCCCUUUCAGUAGGGACGAAGCGCAAGUGACGGUACCUGCAGAAGAAGCAACCGGCUAAACCGUACGUGCCGAGCAGCCGC
rnacentral:rRNA from 1 species